GGAUUGAACGCUGGCGGCAUGCCUAACACAUGCAAGUCGAACGGGAGUAGCAAUACUCUAGUGGCGGACGGGUGAGGAAUACGUAGGAAUUUGCCCUUAAGUGGGGGAUAACCCGGGGAAACCCGGAUUAAUACCGCAUGACCUCGAAAGAGCAAAGUGGGGGAUCGCAAGACCUCACGCUUUUGGAGAAGCCUACGUCGGAUUAGCUAGUUGGUGAGGUAAUGGCUCACCAAGGCGACGAUCCGUAACUGGUCUGAGAGGAUGAUCAGUCACACCGGAACUGAGACACGGUCCGGACUCCGUACGGGAGGCAGCGAGUGGGGAACUAUUGGACAAGUGGGCGCAACGCCUGAUCCAGCAAUGCCGCGUGGUGUGAAGACGGCCUUGGUGUAAGCUACUUAAGUUA
rnacentral:rRNA from 1 species